rnacentral:rRNA from 1 species
CACGUAGGGUGCGAGCGUUGUCCGGAAUUAUUGGGCGUAAAGAGCUCGUAGGCGGUGUGUCACGUCUGCCGUGAAAACCCGAGGCUUAACCUCGUGGCUUGCGGUGGAUACGGGCAGACUAGAGGUAGGUAGGGGAGAACGGAAUUCCCGGUGUAGCGGUGAAAUGCGCAGAUAUCGGGAGGAACACCUGUGGCGAAAGCGGCUCACUGGACCACAACUGACGCUGAGGCGCGAAAGCUAGGGGAGCAAACAGG